UACUGCUUCUUAGGGCAAAAAGUGAG
rnacentral:misc_RNA from 1 species